GAUGAAGAACGCAGUGAAAUGCGAUACGUAAUGUGAAUUGCAGAAUUCAGUGAAUCAUCGAAUCUUUGAACGCACAUUGCGCCCGCUAGUAUUCUGGCGGGCAUGCCUGUCCGAGCGUCAUUUCAACCCUCAAGCCCCCGGGCUUGGUGUUGGGGAUCGGCGAGCCUCCGCGCCCGCCGUCCCCUAAAUCUAGUGGCGGUCUCGCUGUAGCUUCCUCCGCGUAGUAGCACACCUCGCACUGGGAAACAGCGCGGCCACGCCGUUAAACCCCCAACUUCUGAACGUUUGACCUCGGAUCAGGUAGGAAUACCCGCUGAACUUAAGCAUAUCAAUAAGCGGAGGA
rnacentral:misc_RNA from 1 species